AUUGAACGCUGGCGGUAUGCCUUACACAUGCAAGUCGAACGGUAGAGGGGCAACCCUUGAGAGUGGCGAACGGGUGAGUAAUACAUCGGAACGUGCCCAGUCGUGGGGGAUAACGUAGCGAAAGCUACGCUAAUACCGCAUACGACCUGAGGGUGAAAGCGGGGGAUCGCAAGACCUCGCGCGAUUGGAGCGGCCGAUGGCAGAUUAGGUAGUUGGUGGGGUAAAGGCCUACCAAGCCUGCGAUCUGUAGCUGGUCUGAGAGGCGACCAGCCACACUGGGACUGAGACACGGCCCAGACUCCUACGGGAGGCAGCAGUGGGGAAUUUUGGACAAUGGGCGAAAGCCUGAUCCAGCCAUACCGCGUGCGGGAAGAAGGCCUUCGGGUUGUAAACCGCUUUUGUCAGGGAAGAAAUCUUCUGGGUUAAUACCUCGGGAGGAUGACGGUACCUGAAGAAUAAGCACCGGCUAACUACGUGCCAGCCGCCGCCGUAAGAC
rnacentral:rRNA from 1 species